rnacentral:rRNA from 1 species
AUGCAUGGCCGUCGAAGAAAAAUUCGCAACUUUAUUCGAUUUCAUGGAGCAUGGACAUGCUUCAAAUUCGACGGGUCCGGUAUUCAGUCUCAGCAUCAUAGCGAAAUGUUCACCGGGCCGCUCUCUCACUCCACCUUCCUUAACCCGAAUUCGCAGCCUCCCCGCUCGACUUUGAGCAUAAAGGAGCCACCCUCGUCCCCCACGUCGCACGUGUCUGGCAACACGGGGGAAAACCAGCGCCGCCGCCCAAGUUCCGCUCUACACCGUCACUCCCCGCAGCGCCGCCGCCGGAGGGCUGGCCGGCGAAGCGCGCCGCGCCCAGGGAAGGUGGCGGCGAGGCGGUCUCGUUCCCCUCUUCAAGCCAGGACCCCUCCCCCAACCUCGAUCUAG